rnacentral:hammerhead_ribozyme from 1 species
AUCCAGCUGACGAGUUCGAAAUAGGAUGAAACGUACAUCUUGGAU